UUAUCACAUUUAAGAUAUGAACAUCCCUAUAUUUUCGCUAUUUGAAGAGAUAUACAUAUUGUUGAACAGUCAUAAAGGUUAUAGAUUUUAAGCCACGAAUUCACGAAUCCACGAUGAGCUGCUUAAGGAUCGGGGGCAUGAAGUACAGGAAAUUACCAGAAAGGUGAAGAAAAAGAUCAAUUCUUUGACGAAUUGGAAAACAGACGUCCUCCUAGGGAGCUUGCUCAGGAACGGGGCGAAGAUAGAAUUAUAUUUUAUUUUAUUUUUAAUUUUUAACUGUAUAUAAAUAUCCUUAAUAUAUUUAUUUUAUUCUAA